rnacentral:rRNA from 1 species
GACGGAGGGGGCUAGCGUUGUUCGGAAUGACUGGGCGUAAAGGGUGCGUAGGCUGCUCUUUAAGUAAGGUGUGAAAUACCUGGGCUUAACCCAGGAAUUGCGCUUUAGACUGGAGAGCUUGAGUGUGAGAGAGGAAAGUGGAAUUCCUAGUGUAGAGGUGAAAUUCGUAGAGAUUAGGAAGAAUAUCGGAGGCGAAGGCGGCUUUCUGGAUCACAACUGACGCUGAGGCACGAAAGCGUGGGGAGCAAACAGG